rnacentral:rRNA from 1 species
UAGUGGCGAACGGGUGAGUAACACGUGGGUAACCUACCCUUAAAAGGGGAAUAACUUCGAGAAAUCGGAGAUAAUACCGCAUGAUGCUUCCCAGCAUAAGCUGGGAGGCUAAAGGUCCUGUAAAGGAUUGUUUAAGGAUGGGCCCGCGGCCUAUUAGCUUGUUGGUAGGGUAACGGCCUACCAAGGCUAUGAUGGGUAGCCGGCCUGAGAGGGUGAACGGCCACACUGGGAUUGAGAUACGGCCCAGACUCCUACGGGAGGCAGCAGUGGGGAAUUUUGGACAAUGGGGGAAACCCUGAUCCAGCGACGCCGCGUGAGGGAUGAAGGCCUUCGGGUUGUAAACCUCUGUCAGAGAGGACGAAUUUACUCCGAUUCUAUCGGAGUAGGACGGUACUUUCAGAGGAAGCCACGGCCAACUCCGUGCCAGCAGCCGCGGUAAUACGGAGGUGGCAAGCGUUAUCCGGAUUCAUUGGGCGUAAAGGGCGUGUAGGUGUCCCGAUAAGUUCUCGGUGAAAUCCUCCGACUCAAUCGGAGAACUGCCGAGAAAACUAUCGGGAUUGAGUACAGGAGAGGAAAGUGGAAUUCCUGGUGUAGCGGUGAAAUGCGUAGAUAUCAGGAGGAACACCGAUGGCGAAGGCAACUUUCUGGCCUGAUACUGACACUGAGGCGCGAAAGCUAGGGGAGCAAACAGGAUUAGAUACCCUGGUAGUCCUAGCCGUAAACGAUGCUCACUAGGUGUAGGAGGUUUAUCCCUUCUGUGCCGCAGCUAACGCAUUAAGUGAGCCGCCUGGGGAGUACGACCGCAAGGUUGAAACUCAAAGGAAUUGACGGGGGCCCGCACAAGCGGUGGAGCAUGUGGUUCAAUUCGACGAUACGCGAGGAACCUUACCGGGAUUUGACAUCCCGAUGACAGUCCCGGAAACGGGAUCUCCCUUCGGGGCAUCGGGACAGGUGGUGCAUGGCUGUCGUCAGCUCGUGUCGUGAGAUGUUGGGUUAAGUCCCGCAACGAGCGCAACCCCUAUCCUUAGUUGCCAGCGGAUAAUGCCGGGCACUCUAAGGAAACUGCCUCGGAUAACGGGGAGGAAGGUGGGGAUGACGUCAAGUCCUCAUGCCCUUUAUGUCCCGGGCUACACACGUGCUACAAUGGUCGGUACAGAGGGUUGCUAACCCGCGAGGGGGAGCCAAUCCCAAAAAGCCGGCCUCAGUUCGGAUUGGAGGCUGAAACUCGCCUUCAUGAAGUCGGAAUCGCUAGUAAUGGCGCAUCAGCACGGCGCCGUGAAUACGUUCCCGGGCCUUGUACACACCGCCCGUCACACCAACCGAGUUGGGUGUACCCGAAGUCGUUUUUCUAACUCCGACUUUAUGUCGGAGAGGAGGGUGCCUAAGGUAUGCUUGGUAAGGGGGGUG